AAAUCGUUCGUCUGACUUGGG
rnacentral:siRNA from 1 species